rnacentral:rRNA from 1 species
UACGUAGGGUGCGAGCGUUGUCCGGAAUUAUUGGGCGUAAAGAGCUUGUAGGCGGUUUGUCGCGUCUGCUGUGAAAAUCCGGGGCUCAACCCCGGACUUGCAGUGGGUACGGGCAGACUAGAGUGUGGUAGGGGAGACUGGAAUUCCUGGUGUAGCGGUGAAAUGCGCAGAUAUCAGGAGGAACACCGAUGGCGAAGGCAGGUCUCUGGGCCACUACUGACGCUGGAG